rnacentral:rRNA from 1 species
GAUGAACGCUAGCGGCAGGCUUAAUACAUGCAAGUCGAGGGACAGCACAGGUAGCAAUACUGGGUGGUAACCGGCAAACGGGUGCGGAACACGUACACAACCUUCCUUUAAGUGGGGGAUAGCCCAGAGAAAUUUGGAUUAAUACCCCGUAAUAUAGUUGAAUGGCAUCAUUUGAUUAUUAUAGCUACGGCGCUUAAUGAUGGGUGUGCGGCUGAUUAGAUAGUUGGCGGGGUAACGGCCCACCAAGUCUACGAUCUGUAGCUGAUGUGAGAGCAGGAUCAGCCAAACGGGCAAUGAGACACGGGCCCGACUCCUACGGGAGGCAGCAGUAAGGAAUAUUGGUCAAUGGACGCAAGUCUGAACCAGCCAUGCCGCGUGAAGGAUUAAGGUCCUCUGGAUUGUAAACUUCUUUUAUUUGGGACGAAAAAGGGCCUUUCUAGGUCAACUGACGGUACCAGAUGAAUAAGCACCGGCUAACUCCGUGCCAGCCGCCGCAGUAAUAC